rnacentral:lncRNA from 1 species
AGGGGCGUAGAAUGGGCCUCACUGGUCUUUCUCUUAACAUAACAUAACAUAACAUUCCAAUGUGCCAGGGGCGUAGAAUGGGCCUCACUGGUCUUUCUCUUACUCUGUGCUAGGGGCAUAGAAUGGGCCUCACUGGACUUCCGUACCGUAUCAUCGUCAUCAUAUCAUAUCGAGGACUAAUGGGUCAUCCAAUAUCCAUCCAC